rnacentral:lncRNA from 1 species
GACUCCUUCAUUACGCAGAAGGCUGGGGAACACUUUCUCUGUUCUAGAUAUUAAUAAAAUACAGCUUUUGUGGUCCCAAUAGGAGAUAAAAUGAUAGAGGUCUGCGAUUAGCACCAAGGUAGGGAUGAGGGAGUGAUGUAAACGCUGCCUGGCCGGCAGCUUGCCGAGGAGAUCAGUUUCUGACUGACAAUAGCAGGAGUUCAGAUUCAGGAGGUUCAUAGAAGAUAGUGUGGAGGAUGCUGGUAGCUCUAGGAUCAAGAACUGCCACGGGCCAGUUACGAGGCGAUUACCUGGGAAACCCGGAAGGCCCUCGUGGAGGAUUCUGGGGAGCCGACGUUGCGGCUCCUGAAGCGCAUGCGCCAGGAUUCCCGCCCCCGACACAGCAGCGGUGCCAUCCUGACUAUGCUGCGUGUAGAUCCUUAUCUUGGGUUUCCAGCCUGGGUGGCCGGAGGCGCUGUUCCAGCAGCGUGUUUGUUCUGCAGUUGUGUGUUAUUACUUCAGUGCAUCGCCCAGAGGAAACUCAGGCAAAGUCCAUAACUUACUAUACUGUAGUACGAUCACCAAAAGGAGCGUCUCAUGCCUGGAGAACCCCUACUCAACAGCCAAGGUAAUUCCCAUAUCCAUGUACGUCUGUAGGGAAUGUCUGUAGACUUGGGUAGCUAUAUAUCUAUUUAUUCAUCCAUCCAGCCAUCCAUCCAAUCUAAUCUAAUCCGUCCGUCCAUUUUAUCUAUCAGUGCAUGUAUCCAUCUGUCCUGUCUGUUUAUAUCUGUCUAUAAAAACCAUAUCCACGGUUUUCUUUAUCAUUGACAGUAUUUAUAGAAUUCCACAUUCAAGAUAUACAAAAUCCCUACCUACUAAGGAGGGAAGGAAUUAUGGAAUCAUCUGCAGGUAGAAUAUGAUUUAUAGAAACAAAGCCCAGGAUGGCCCUCCCAGAGACAGAGCUGCAGGUAACCUGGCCAUACUCAGGGGCCUGGUCUUCCGAGGAGAAACUCAACAAGGGCCCAGGUGGUGAAUUCUGACUAGUAUCAUGGAAUUAAUGAAAAUAUACUGUUUAUGGUAAGUGAUUUUUAAACUUUAUUGUUAACAUCAUCCCCUUUUCCACAUCAGUAACA